UUUUAGCAGCAGCAGCAGUAGUAGUGUUAUCAUUUUGAGGGUCCACUGUAUAUAAGCAUUGGUGGUCCUUGCGCAGGGCAACAUGCGGAACGCCAUGAGUUAGAAGCUGGGGGAAGGAGGACUUAAGGAUGCUUGAGGUACAUCCUUAACCAGCGCGCAGUGUGGGAGGUUAAGGUGAAAAACAUGGCUUUGAUAUCUUCAUGGAAGACUGCAUUACUUCAAUCCUAAGUCUGGUUCAGUUCACGUAUUGACUUAUUACUAUAUUAAAAAUGUUUAAUUAA